GAUGAAGGGCGUGCUAAUCUGCGAUAAGCGCCGGUAAGGUGAUAUGAACCGUUAUAACCGGCGAUACCCGAAUGGGGAAACCCAGUGUGACUCGUCACACUAUCAUUAACUGAAUCCAUAGGUUAAUGAGGCGAACCGGGGGAACUGAAACAUCUAAGUACCCCGAGGAAAAGAAAUCAACCGAGAUUCCCCCAGUAGCGGCGAGCGAACGGGGAGGAGCCCAGAGCCUGAAUCAGCAUGUGUGUUAGUGGAAGCGUCUGGAAAGGCGCGCGAUACAGGGUGACAGCCCCGUACACAAAAGCGCAUGUGCUGUGAGCUCGAUGAGUAGGGCGGGACACGUGGUAUCCUGUCUGAAUAUGGGGGGACCAUCCUCCAAGGCUAAAUACUCCUGACUGACCGAUAGUGAACCAGUACCGUGAGGGAAAGGCGAAAAGAACCCCGGCGAGGGGAGUGAAAAAGAACCUGAAACCGUGUACGUACAAGCAGUGGGAGCCCCACCACCAAAGCAUUUGCUGUACCGCGUUGACGGAGCGAAGCGACGUCAAACCGAUAAAACAGCAGUGUAAAGUGAGCCGCAGGGCGCUUUGCGCGACAGCGCAAAGGCAGGCGGUUUCGCGUAGCGAAAGCGAAUGCUUUGGGGUGGGGUGACUGCGUACCUUUUGUAUAAUGGGUCAGCGACUUAUAUUCUGUAGCAAGGUUAACCGAAUAGGGGAGCCGGAGGGAAACCGAGUCUUAAUUGGGCGUUAAGUUGCAGGGUAUAGACCCGAAACCCGGUGAUCUAGCCAUGGGCAGGUUGAAGGUUGGGUAACACUAACUGGAGGACCGAACCGACUAAUGUUGAAAAAUUAGCGGAUGACCUGUGGCUGGGGGUGAAAGGCCAAUCAAACCGGGAGAUAGCUGGUUCUCCCCGAAAGCUAUUUAGGUAGCGCCUCGUGAAUUCAUCUCCGGGGGUAGAGCACUGUUUCGGCUAGGGGGCCAUCCCGGCUUACCAACCCGAUGCAAACUGCGAAUACCGGAGAAUGUUAUCACGGGAGACACACGGCGGGUGCUAACGUCCGUCGUGAAGAGGGAAACAACCCAGACCGCCAGCUAAGGUCCCAAAGUCAUGGUUAAGUGGGAAACGAUGUGGGAAGGCCCAGACAGCCAGGAUGUUGGCUUAGAAGCAGCCAUCAUUUAAAGAAAGCGUAAUAGCUCACUGGUCGAGUCGGCCUGCGCGGAAGAUGUAACGGGGCUAAACCAUGCACCGAAGCUGCGGCAGCGACACUGUGUGUUGUUGGGUAGGGGAGCGUUCUGUAAGCCUGUGAAGGUGUGUCGUGAGGCAUGCUGGAGGUAUCAGAAGUGCGAAUGCUGACAUAAGUAACGAUAAAGCGGGUGAAAAGCCCGCUCGCCGGAAGACCAAGGGUUCCUGUCCAACGUUAAUCGGGGCAGGGUGAGUCGACCCCUAAGGCGAGGCCGAAAGGCGUAGUCGAUGGGAAACGGGUUAAUAUUCCCGUACUUGGUGUUACUGCGAAGGGGGGACGGAGAAGGCUAUGUUGGCCGGGCGACGGUUGUCCCGGUUUAAGCGUGUAGGUGUGUGUUCCAGGUAAAUCCGGUUCACUUUAACACUGAGGCGUGACGACGAGGCACUACGGUGCUGAAGCAACAAAUGCCCUGCUUCCAGGAAAAGCCUCUAAGCAUCAGGUAACAUCAAAUCGUACCCCAAACCGACACAGGUGGUCAGGUAGAGAAUACCAAGGCGCUUGAGAGAACUCGGGUGAAGGAACUAGGCAAAAUGGUGCCGUAACUUCGGGAGAAGGCACGCUGACACGUAGGUGAAGUGAUUUACUCAUGGAGCUGAAGUCAGUCGAAGAUACCAGCUGGCUGCAACUGUUUAUUAAAAACACAGCACUGUGCAAACACGAAAGUGGACGUAUACGGUGUGACGCCUGCCCGGUGCCGGAAGGUUAAUUGAUGGGGUCAGCGCAAGCGAAGCUCCUGAUCGAAGCCCCGGUAAACGGCGGCCGUAACUAUAACGGUCCUAAGGUAGCGAAAUUCCUUGUCGGGUAAGUUCCGACCUGCACGAAUGGCGUAAUGAUGGCCAGGCUGUCUCCACCCGAGACUCAGUGAAAUUGAACUCGCUGUGAAGAUGCAGUGUACCCGCGGCAAGACGGAAAGACCCCGUGAACCUUUACUAUAGCUUGACACUGAACAUUGAGCCUUGAUGUGUAGGAUAGGUGGGAGGCUUUGAAGUGUGGACGCCAGUCUGCAUGGAGCCGACCUUGAAAUACCACCCUUUAAUGUUUGAUGUUCUAACGUGGACCCGUUACCCGGGUUGCGGACAGUGUCUGGUGGGUAGUUUGACUGGGGCGGUCUCCUCCUAAAGAGUAACGGAGGAGCACGAAGGUUGGCUAAUCCUGGUCGGACAUCAGGAGGUUAGUGCAAUGGCAUAAGCCAGCUUGACUGCGAGCGUGACGGCGCGAGCAGGUGCGAAAGCAGGUCAUAGUGAUCCGGUGGUUCUGAAUGGAAGGGCCAUCGCUCAACGGAUAAAAGGUACUCCGGGGAUAACAGGCUGAUACCGCCCAAGAGUUCAUAUCGACGGCGGUGUUUGGCACCUCGAUGUCGGCUCAUCACAUCCUGGGGCUGAAGUAGGUCCCAAGGGUAUGGCUGUUCGCCAUUUAAAGUGGUACGCGAGCUGGGUUUAGAACGUCGUGAGACAGUUCGGUCCCUAUCUGCCGUGGGCGCUGGAGAACUGAGGGGGGCUGCUCCUAGUACGAGAGGACCGGAGUGGACGCAUCACUGGUGUUCGGGUUGUCAUGCCAAUGGCACUGCCCGGUAGCUAAAUGCGGAAGAGAUAAGUGCUGAAAGCAUCUAAGCACGAAACUUGCCCCGAGAUGAGUUCUCCCUGAGACUUAGAGUCUCCUGAAGGAACGUUGAAGACGACGACGUUGAUAGGCCGGGUGUGUAAGCGCAGCGAUGCGUUGAGCUAACCGGUACUAAUGAACCGUGAGGCUUAACCUUACAACGCCGAAG
rnacentral:rRNA from 1 species